ACGAACGCUGGCGGCGUGCUUAACACAUGCAAGUCGAACGGAAAGGCCUCUUUCGGGGGGUACUCGAGUGGCGAACGGGUGAGUAACACGUGAGUAACCUGCCCUUGACUUUGGGAUAACUUCAGGAAACUGGGGCUAAUACCGGAUAGGAGCUCCUGCUGCAUGGUGGGGGUUGGAAAGUUUCGGCGGUUGGGGGUGGACUCGCGGCUUAUCAGCUUGUUGGUGGGGUAGUGGCUUACCAAGGCGUUGACGGGUAGCCGGCCUGAGAGGGUGACCGGCCACAUUGGGACUGAGAUACGGCCCAGACUCCUACGGGAGGCAGCAGUGGGGAAUAUUGCACCAUGGGUGGAAGCCUGAUGCAGCAACGCCGUGUGCGGGAUGACGGCCUUCGGGUUGUAAACCGCUUUCGCUCAUGACGAAGCUUUGUGUGACGGUAGUGGGUAAAGAAGCACCGGCUAACUACGUG
rnacentral:rRNA from 1 species